UGUCGUCAGCUCGUGUCGUGAGAUGUUGGGUUAAGUCCCGCAACGAGCGCAACCCUUAUCUUUAAUUGCCAGCAUUCAGUUGGGCACUUUAAAGAGACUGCCGGUGUUAAACCGGAGGAAGGUGGGAUGACGUCAAGUCCUCAUGGCCUUUAUGCUUAGGGCUACACACGUGCUACAAUGGGUGGUACAAAGAGAAGCCAACUCGCGAGAGCGCGCCAAUCUCAAAAAGCCAUCCUCAGUUCGGAUUGGAGUCUGCAACUCGACUCCAUGAAGUUGGAAUCGCUAGUAAUCGCGGAUCAGCAUGCCCGCGGUCGAAUACGUUCCGGCCUU
rnacentral:rRNA from 1 species